UGACAAGAUAAGGAAACACAUUCAUUCUCUUUUGCUCUCCAUCUCAUUUGCAUAUACACAAACGUGUGCUUAGGCACUUUGCUGCCCUAGCCAAUUAUGUUAAAAGAAUAAUAAGCAACUUAAUAUAGACCGGAUUUGAGCUCUUAACAAGGUGCUGCUAUAUGCCUUUAGGAUUCUACCAAUCAGGAAUAAGGUGAGAGAAUGUCCGUCCCAUUCCAGACUUGUCAGUCAGGGGCUACCCAGCUCUCUCCCCAGGUAACAGCCCUCUUCACCCUUUAACUGAUGUUAAUUUCCCCUAUCCAGACUCUCAAUGCUUUGGAGACAUCACCAUUGUAAGGUCAGUCCUGAUGGUAACCUGGCUCUGACCUUAUAUCCUGGUUCUAGUAACUAAGUUUCUCCAGCCUGGGUUCUGAAACCAAGUCUUUUACCUUGCCUACUUUCAGUAAAAGGGACAUAUUUGUUUGGAUUACUUUUAGCCCUCUUGGACUAUGGCUGUCUUAUUCUUACAGUCUUGAUUUAUCUCUGGUAGAUUCUGGGUAGAUCUCCAGAGAAGGGAUGGACCCAUGUCCCUGUGUUGCCUUUUACUAAUCAGGCUAGGUUAGUAUGUGCACUAACAACAUACCAAGAAAAUGCUCAUUCUUUAUAUUAUAUAAAAUUGAAUGCAGACCUCCCUCCUUUCCAUGUAAACUGUUUUACUCCUCCAUGGUUUGGUGAAGUCACCUUGAACCGUGAAUAGCUACGUCAAAAGACAAGAACUUUUGAUUCUCUCCCGUAAUUAUUUUCUUCAAAAUCUUUAUUUUCUACCUUAGAGUUCCAAAUUGAGUGACCUUGAAGAUUCCAUUUUAUUCUUGGCUCAGAAGAGACAGAGAUUAUCCUGGAGCUUAAUAUAAGAGAUAAUGUGCAAGGACACUGCCUUUCCAGUCCACCCCAUUCCCAAGGAUGAUCCCAACCUGCACUCCCUGAAGUUCUACCAAUCAGAGUCAAGAGAGUGGAUGAGUAACUGUCUCCCUGUACACCUCAAUCUAGACUGGUUUGAGCAGUCAGGUCAUCUUAUACCUGGAUUAAGCACCCUGUGGCUUGGAUGAAAGAUAACUGAAAACAGUGUUUUGGAAUUUCAAACAUCCUGAGAGAGGCACCGGGGUGGCUCAAUCCUUAAGCAUCCAACUCUUGACUUUGGCUCAGGUCAUGAUUUCACGGUUUGUGAGCCCCACAUUGGGUUCUGUGCUGACAGUGCAGGGCCUGCUUGGGAUUCUCUCCCUCUCUUUGCCCCUCCCCCACUUGUGCACGCACGUUCUCUCUCUCUCAAAAUAGAUAAGCAUUUAUAUAUUUUAAAAACCAUAUUAAAAAAAAAUCCUAAGAAAAGGCAGGCUGCAUACACCUUCCAAGGAAUGGUUUCCAGACCAGCUGUGUAAACCAAGCAAGGCGUUCAUGGGUAUAUUUUAUGCUGUGUGCCCUGCUCUUUCUUUAGGAUAGCUCUGGUCCCCACAACAUCCUUAACGACAUUUGAUGAGAAGACAGUCUUCUAGAAGAAAGGAACUGAAGAGCAUGACUGCUUUAUUAAUUAAACUUUGGAAGACUCA